AUGUCAACCGUGGACAUCGAGGAAGCCGGGCACAGGCUAUCGUCGGUGGUCAGGCCCGGCCAGGAGACGGAGGUGUGCAUCAUGAUCAUCGAGUGCUGCCGGCAGGAGAGGACGUACACCCAUUACCACGGGCAGCUCGCGCAGUUGACGGAGGAGGACACCACGUCUUCAUCGCGCAUGUUCCUCAAGGUGCUCUUCCAGGAGCUGUUGGAGCGGCUCGGGAUAUGGCUGGUCCGACGGAGGAUGAUCGACGACGACCCGCUGGUCCGGGAUGCCCUCUUCCCCACUGACUCUGCCAAGAAUACAAGAUUCGCCAUCAACUUCUUCACGGCGAUUGGCCUAGGAGGAGUCACAGAAUCAGCCAGGGAGCAUCUAGUCAACAACAGAGCAUGUAUAGUCAACAACAGAUCCUAUAGUACCUAA
rnacentral:rRNA from 1 species